CUACGGAGGAAGCAAGCGUUAUUCGGAAUCACUGGGCGUAAAGGACGCGUAGGCGGGUUUGUAAGUCAGGUGUGAAAUCCUACAGCUCAACUGUAGAACUGCACUUGAAACUACAGACCUAGAGUAUGGAAGGGGCAGAUGGAAUUAGUGGUGUAGGGGUAAAAUCCGUAGAUAUCACUAGGAAUACCGAAAGCGAAGGCGAUCUGCUGGGACAUUACUGACGCUGAGGCGCGAAAGCGUGGGGAGCAAACGGGAUUAGAAACCCUAGUAGUCC
rnacentral:rRNA from 1 species